ACGGAAAUCCCGGGGUUUACCAUGCCCCUCUAGGGGCAGCGGGGAGGUAGCAAUACUUCCGCCGGCGACCGGCCCUUUAAAGAGUAACACGUAUGGAACCUGCCCGUAGCAGGGCCCUAAACGGAAGAAAUUCCGUCUAAUACCGCGUAAUAACUCCGAGAGGCAUCUCAUGGAGUUUAAAGGGCAACACCCGCUACGGAUGGCCAUGCGGCGCAUUAGCUAGUUGGCGGGGUAACGGCCCACCAAGGCGACGAUGCGUAGGGGUUCUGAGAGGAAGGUCCCCCACACUGGUACUGAGACACGGACCAGACUCCUACGGGAGGCAGCAGUGAGGAAUAUUGGUCAAUGGGCGCGAGCCUGAACCAGCCAAGUCGCGUGAGGGAAGACGGUCCUAUGGAUUGUAAACCUCUUUUGUCGGGGAGCAAAAGACGCCACGCGUGGCGUUCCGAGAGUACCCGAAGAAAAAGCAUCGGCUAACUCCGUGCCAGCAGCCGCGGUAAUACGGAGGAUGCGAGCGUUAUCCGGAUUUAUUGGGUUUAAAGGGUGCGCAGGCGGAAGAUCAAGUCAGCGGUAAAAUUGAGAGGCUCAACCUCUUCGAGCCGUUGAAACUGGUUUUCUUGAGUGAGCGAGAAGUAUGCGGAAUGCGUGGUGUACCGGUGAAAUGCAUAGAUAUCACGCAGAACUCCGAAUGCGAAGGCAGCAUACCGGCGCUCAACUGACGCUCAUGCAUGAAAGUGUGGGUAUCGAACAUGAAUCAAUACCCUGGUAGACCACACAGUAAACCAAUGAAUAUUAAUCGCUCGGAGAGAAUGAAUCCCUGAGUGAAACACCGAAAGCCUUUAGUUUUCUCCCCUGGGGAAUACGCCCGCAACUUGGGAACCUCACAUGAAUUUACGGGUG
rnacentral:rRNA from 1 species